rnacentral:lncRNA from 1 species
UAAUAUCUCAUCCAAAAUGGGUUCGAUUUGAAUCCAAUUCGAAGCUGGUUCGAAAUAAUUUUGAAAGGCUGUCAAUCCUAAAUUUUUUAGGACCUUUGUACCAAGUCUAACUUAAAAUUUUAAAUCUAAUUAAGUCUAAUUAACUCAAAUCUAAUCUAAAAUUAAUUAAUACUUAAAUUUAAUAUCUCAUAUGCUCCAUGGAUUAUUGAUCAGAAACUAUUCAUCCCC